CGCUGUCGUACGUCACAGUUAGUCAAAAAACUGCUCGCCAGACACUACGAGCCACAGCUUAAACUCACAGGACCUGGCGGUGCUUCAUAUCCCUCUAGAGGAGCCUGUUCUGUAAUCGAUAAACCCCGAUCAACCUCACCACCUCUUGCUCAGCCUAUAUACCGCCAUCUUCAGCAAACAAACA
rnacentral:rRNA from 1 species